GAGGAGCCCGCGGCCUAUCAGCUUGUUGGUGAGGUAACGGCUCACCAAGGCGUUGACGGGUAGCUGGUCUGAGAGGACGACCAGCCACACUGGGACUGAGACACGGCCCAGACACCUACGGGUGGCAGCAGUCGAGAAUUUUUGACAAUGGGGGAAACCCUGAUCGAGCGACGCCGCGUGGAGGAUGAAGGUCUUCGGGUUGUAAACUCCUGUCAUUUGAGAACAAGGCGCAUGUAUUAACUGUACAUGCGUUGAUAGUAUCAGAAGAGGAAGGGACGGCUAACUCUGUGCCAGCAGCCGCGGUAAUACAGAGGUCUCAAGCGUUGUUCGGAUUCAUUGGGCGUAAAGGGUGUGUAGGUGGCGCGCUAAGUCGGGUGUGAAAUUUCGGAGCUUAACUCCGAAACUGCAUUCGAUACUGGCGUGCUUGAGGACUGGAGAGGAGACUGGAAUUUACGGUGUAGCAGUGAAAUGCGUAGAUAUCGUAAGG
rnacentral:rRNA from 1 species